CGGACCGGCGCACGGGUGCGUAACGCGUAUGCAACCUACCAUCAACAGGGGGAUAACACUGAGAAAUUGGUACUAAUACCCCAUAAUAUCUCAUGCGGCAUCGCAUGGGGUUGAAAACUCCGGUGGUUGAUGAUGGGCAUGCGUUGUAUUAGCCGGUUGGUGAGGUAACGGCUCACCAAGGCGACGAUACAUAGGGGGACUGAGAGGUUAACCCCCCACAUUGGUACUGAGACACGGACCAAACUCCUACGGAAGGCAGCAG
rnacentral:rRNA from 1 species